UACGUAGGUGGCAAGCGUUGUCCGGAUUUAUUGGGCGUAAAGAGCGUGUAGGCGGCCAGACAGGUCCGUUGUGAAAACUGGAGGCUUAACCUCCAGACGUCGACGGAAACCGUGUGGCUAGAGUCCGGAAGAGGAGAGUGGAAUUCCUGGUGUAGCGGUGAAAUGCGCAGAUAUCAGGAAGAACACCAAUGGCGAAGGCAGCUCUCUGGGACGGUACUGACGCUGAGACGCGAAAGCGUGGGGAGCGAACAGGAUUAGAUA
rnacentral:rRNA from 1 species